UCCAUUCUACCAUUCUAUUCACCCCUCUCCAUCCUAAAUCCUUUGCUCUUCCGCUCCUAUCUCAAAUAUUCCAACAAUACAGAGUAAUCAAUCAAUAAAAAGACAAGUAACGAGAAGGGGCAAUGUCUCGUGGUGGCUCUACGGAGGAGGGAAUCAGUGUUGGCUCCAUUUUGGAUGUCUUGGGUAAACGAUUAUGGGCUCUGUCAGCGCCGGUUGUCGUGGUACGUCUCUAGUAGAGGGUAUUACAAUGACAGUCGCCAGCAGUGAAUGAAUAGACGGAGCANUGACUGGAUCUNUGNUUUCAAAAUACAGAGGAGAGGAGUCUCUAGCCUUUAGGGGUUAAUGUGAGGUGGGUGAGAGUUGGAGGAGGAGCGUGUGGAGGUGGGAGUGGUGGAGGCGCNUGAUAUGAAGGGAUGUGAUGGAGGGGAACCUUCGGAAGAGGUUGGGGAGAAANGNAAGCGUAGGGUUUCUUCUUUGCGAAUGAUAGUGUUGAUGGCAUCAUUGAGGCUCUGACGACAACGACAGAAAGCUUCGCCUGCCACUCCUUGUUGAGAGGGAGAGUGAAACUCAAUGGCGACCCUAAUCGAAUAGGUGAGACGUGGUUAGGAAUCGAAGGGAAGGAAUAGAGCAUUAAAGACAAGAAAGAAAAAGAACCUAAAAAUUUUUCGAAUAAGGGAACCUCUGAUGGGUUGGUGGCGGAAUGAGGAGAGAGAAGAGAGAAAAAGCUUGGUGUUACAGGAAAAGCAUAGGAGAGAGAGAAAGGGGGGAAAAGGUAUUCCACGUCAG
rnacentral:lncRNA from 1 species